rnacentral:piRNA from 1 species
UUGCCACCUAUGUAAGAGGGAUUUCAUA